GUUAAUACAGUUGAGCGUCAAGUCUUCUAUCUAAAAACCAUGAAGUUCUCAUCUGCCAUAGUGGUACUGAUGAUUUCUAUCACCAUUCUUUCUUCGAAUGCACAGAUUGUUAGUUCUCAAUUAGCGACACCCCAAGUUGAAGUUGCCCAGCCAACCCCAAUGAACGGAUGUUUUUGGAGUGGAACAUCACCAUUUUGUUUUGGACAAUGUGGCAAUUUUUAUAAUACUAUUUCUGUUCACAAAAGAGGAGACGGAAAAACAUGUUUAACAGGAACAAAGAAGCUGUGUUGUCCUCGAACUGAUUUAUUAACCGGUUAAAUAUAUUUUCUUGUUGAAAUUCACCAUUUAGGACUUUCGUUCCGCUUUCGUUUUUUCACAAGAAAUGUAUUAUUCAGAUUGCAAUAAACUAUGUCAAAAAAUUAAA